AGAAAGGGUCAAAUCUUCCUCAGCUUGUUCCUUAUGCCAGAGUCAGGCUCCAACUCAAACCCUUUUCUGCCAAGAUUGAAUCCAAGAGUUAUCUUAGAGUUGAUCCUCAUUACCAAUGCUAUAUAUUUGCUGCUGGAGUUGAAGGCAAUAAAGAGAAGACUGUAGUUUAGUAUACCGGUGUGGUCGAUAUUAGGAAUUAGGAUUUCACCAUCAAUGACAAGUAGCCAAAGAAAGAAGUGAUGGAUACCAAAGUCAUAUGAAAGCUCUGGCCACCUUGAAUCCAACUUUGUUGCCAAGACAUGCAUGCCAAUCUGCCUUUCUACAAGUAUAGAAAUAUUUUGUAAGCUAUGUAUUUACCUCUUUGGCCAACAUCUCCCAAGUCUAAGUGCAAUUGAGAUGUAUAUACUCUUUUAUCAUGAUUUUGAGAUAUUAGAAUCUUCAACUUUCG